rnacentral:rRNA from 1 species
GACGAACGCUGGCGGCGUGCUUAACACAUGCAAGUCGAACGGAAAGGCCCUGCUUUUGUGGGGUGCUCGAGUGGCGAACGGGUGAGUAACACGUGAGUAACCUGCCCUUGACUUUGGGAUAACUUCAGGAAACUGGGGCUAAUACCGGAUAGGAGCUCCUGCUGCAUGGUGGGGGUUGGAAAGUUUCGGCGGUUGGGGAUGGACUCGCGGCUUAUCAGCUUGUUGGUGGGGUAGUGGCUUACCAAGGCUUUGACGGGUAGCCGGCCUGAGAGGGUGACCGGCGACAUUGGGACUGAGAUACGGCCCAGACUCCUACGGGAGGCAGAAGUGGGGAAUAUUGCACAAUGGGCGGAAGCCUGAUGAAGCAACGCCGCGUGCGGGAUGACGGCCUUCGGGUUGUAAACCGCUUUCGCCUGUGACGAAGCGUGAGUGACGGUAAUGGGUAAAGAAGCACCGGCUAACUACGUG